rnacentral:rRNA from 1 species
GAUCCUGGCUCAGGAUGAACGCUAGCUACAGGCUUAACACAUGCAAGUCGAGGGGCGAGCAGUGAACUUAGCUUGCUAAGUUUGAUGGCGACCGGCGCACGGGUGAGUAACACGUAUCCAACCUGGCCGAUGACUCGGGGAUAGCCUUUCGAAAGAAACGAUUAAUACCCGAUGGCAUAGUUCUUCCGCAAUGGUGGAACUAUUAAAGAAUUUCGGUCAUCGAUGGGGAUGCGUUCCAUUAGGUUG